UACGAAGGGUGCUAGCGUUGUUCGGAAUACUGGGCGUAAAGCGUAGGUAGGCGGUCUACCAAGUCAGAGGUGAAAUCCCGGAGCUCAACUCCGGAAUUGCCUUUGAAACUGGUAGGCUAGAGAAUGUUUAGAGGCAAGUGGAAUUCCUAGUGUAGGAGUGAAAUCCGUAGAUAUUAGGAGGAACAUCAAUGGCGAAGGCAGCUUGCUGGGACAUUACUGACGCUGAGCUACGAAAGCGUGGGGAGCAAACAGG
rnacentral:rRNA from 1 species